AUUGAACGCUGGCGGAAUGCUUUACACAUGCAAGUCGAGCGGCAGCGCGGGGGCAACCCUGGCGGCGAGCGGCGAACGGGUGAGUAACAUAUCGGAACGUACCCAGUCGUGGGGGAUAACUAUCCGAAAGGAUAGCUAAUACCGCAUACGACCUGAGGGUGAAAGCGGGGGACCGCAAGGCCUCGCGCGAUAGGAGCGGCCGAUAUCGGAUUAGCUAGUUGGUGAGGUAAAGGCUCACCAAGGCGACGAUCCGUAGCGGGUCUGAGAGGACGACCCGCCACACUGGAACUGAGACACGGUCCAGACUCCUACGGGAGGCAGCAGUGGGGAAUUUUGGACAAUGGGGGCAACCCUGAUCCAGCCAUGCCGCGUGAGUGAAGAAGGCCUCGG
rnacentral:rRNA from 1 species